rnacentral:rRNA from 1 species
UACGGGGGGGGCAAGCGUUGUUCGGAAUUACUGGGCGUAAAGGGCUCGUAGGUGGCCAACUAAGUCAGACGUGAAAUCCCUCAGCUUAACUGGGGAACUGCGUGUGAUACUGGAUGGCUUGGAUUUGGGAGAGGGAUGCGGAAUUCCAGGUGUAGCGGUAAAAUGCGUAGAUAUCUGGAGGAAUACCGGUGGCGAAGGCGGCAUCCUGGACCAUUACUGACGCUGAGGCGCGAAAGCUAGGGGAGCAAACGGG